rnacentral:rRNA from 1 species
AAUGGGCGAAAGCCUGAUCCAGCAAUGCCGCGUGAGUGAAGAAGGCCUUAGGGUUGUAAAGCUCUUUCGCCUGCGACGAUGAUGACGGUAGCAGGAGAAGAAGCCCCGGCUAAUUCCGUGCCAGCAGCCGCGGUAAUACGGAAGGGGCUAGCGUUGUUCGGAAUUACUGGGCGUAAAGCGCGCGUAGGCGGCUGGACAAGUGAGGCGUGAAAGUCCUGGGCUCAACCCGGGGACGGCGCUUCAGACUGUUCGGCUAGAGUCCGGAAGAGGGUGGUGGAAUUCCGAGUGUAGAGGUGAAAUUCGUAGAUAUUCGGAGGAACACCGGUGGCGAAGGCGGCCACCUGGUCCGGUACUGACGCUCAAGUGCGAAAGCGUGGGGAGCAAA